rnacentral:tRNA from 1 species
GGUCCCGUAACUUAGUUGGUUAGAGCAUUGGUCUUAUGAGACGAAGAUUGUGAGUUCGAGCCUCGUCGGGACUG